rnacentral:rRNA from 1 species
AUGGAUCCAUCAAGCAUGGACAAAGACACGGAGGAGCAGCGGUCACAACGACGCCCCUUGUUUUCGCGGCUCAAGUGCGGCGAGGAGGAGACGCUAGCACCUAGGAGCGCCGACGAGCGCCUCUUCGUCACCGACGUCUUCCUCGUCCACCCGGAGAGAGAAGCCGGCGGCCAGAGCGUCGUGGCCGCCUGCGUCGAGAUCGGCACGCGGAACCUCAUGCUCGGAAGGCUGUCGGCGCAGAACCCCUGCGUGAAGCUGCAGACGCCGGUGGAGCUGGACAUGGAGUUUUGCUUUUACGUGGUGCGCCUAGAAGACGUCUACGCCGCCGACGAUGACGGAAACACCGACGCUGAGGCCGAUGCAGCCGUCGUCGAGUUCCAGGGUUUCGCUCUCGGUCCGCCGUCUCUGGACACGAAGGAGGAGGACGUUGAGUUCCAGGGUUUAUCUCUCGCUCUGCAGUCUCUGGACGUGAAGGAGGACGCUGAUGACGAUCGUGAGGAGGAGAAGGAGGAGAUUGACGAGGUUGACGGAGAAGUGGGUCACGUGACCAGGGCGAGCAGUGCCGGCGGCAACAACAGGAACGUUGGACAGGAUGUAGCUAGAACAUUCUUAGGAAUUCUUUUGUUUGUCUCUAUAUUAGCGUUCCUCGGAUUGAUAAUGUAA